UACGGAGGGUGCGAGCGUUAUCCGGAUUUAUUGGGUUUAAAGGGUGCGUAGGCGGAUUAAUAAGUCAGUGGUGAAAACCUGCAGCUUAACUGUAGAACUGCCAUUGAUACUGUUAGUCUUGAGUACGGUCAAGGUAGGCGGAAUGUGUAAUGUAGCGGUGAAAUGCUUAGAUAUUACACAGAACACCGAUUGCGAAGGCAGCUUACUGGGCCAUUACUGACGCUGAGGCACGAAAGCGUGGGGAGCGAACAGG
rnacentral:rRNA from 1 species